rnacentral:rRNA from 1 species
CGCCGCGUCGACGGAGGCAGCGGUGGGGAAUUUUCCGCAAUGGACGAGAGUCUGAACCAGCCAAGUAGCGUGAGGGAUGACUGCCCUAUGGGUUGUAAACUUCUUUUAUAAGGGAAUAAAGUGCGCCACGUGUGGUGUUUUGUAUGUACCUUAUGAAUAAGCAUCGGCUAAUUCCGUGCCAGCAGCCGCGGUAAUACGGAAGAUGCGAGCGUUAUCCGGAUUUAUUGGGUUUAAAGGGAGCGUAGGCGGGCGAUUAAGUCAGCGGUAAAAUAGUGUGGCUCAACCAUACUCCGCCGUUGAUACUGGUUGCCUUGAGUUCGCACAAGGAAGAUGGAAUUCGUGGUGUAGCGGUGAAAUGCUUAGAU